GGGGCUGUGGGCUCAGUGGCAGAGCAUCUGCUUUGCAUCCAGAAGGUCCCUGGUUCAAUCCUCAGCAUCUCCA